rnacentral:rRNA from 1 species
AGAGUUUGAUCCUGGCUCAGGAUGAACGCUAGCUACAGGCUUAACACAUGCAAGUCGAGGGGCAGCAUUUUAGUUUGCUUGCAAACUGAAGAUGGCGACCGGCGCACGGGUGAGUAACACGUAUCCAACCUACCGAUAACUCCGGAAUAGCCUUUCGAAAGAAGGAUUAAUACCGGAUAGCAUACGAAUAUCGCAUGAUAUUUUUAUUAAAGAAUUUCGGUUAUCGAUGGGGAUGCGUUCCAUUAGUUUGUUGGCGGGG